GCGGGAAUGGCGAAAUUGGUAGACGCACUGGUUUUAGGUACCAGCGCCGCAAGGCUUAGGAGUUCAAGUCUCCUUUCCCGCA
rnacentral:tRNA from 1 species